rnacentral:rRNA from 1 species
UACAGAGGUCUCGAGCGUUGUUCGGCUUCAUUGGGCGUAAAGGGUGCGUAGGUGGCGCCGUAAGUCGGGUGUGGAAUUUCGGAGCUUAACUCCGAAACUGCAUUCGAUACUGCGGUGCUUGAGGACUGGAGAGGAGACUGGAAUUCAUGGUGUAGCAGUGAAAUGCGUAGAGAUCAUGAGGAAGACCAGUGGCGAAGGCGGGUCUCUGGUCCGAUAUUGACGCUGAGGAGCGAAAGCGUGGGGAGCAAACAGG